rnacentral:rRNA from 1 species
AGUGAACGCUGGCGGCGUGCUUUAACACAUGCAAGUCGAACGGGUUAAAGAAGCUUGCUUCUUUGAUUAGUGGCGCACGGGUGAGUAAUGUAUAGCUAACCUGCCCCUUAGUGAGGGACAACAGUUGGAAACGGCUGCUAAUACCUCAUACUCCUUCUUAUCAUAAGAUGAGUCGGGAAAGAUUUAUCGCUAAGGGAUGGGGCUUUAUUGUAUCAGCUAGUUGGUGGGGUAAUGGCCUACCAAGGCUAUGACGCAUACCUGGUCUGAGAGGAUGAUCAGGCACACUGGAACUGAGACACGGUCCAGACUCCUACGGGAGGCAGCAGUGGGGAAUAUUGCACAAUGGAGGAAACUCUGAUGCAGCAACGCCGCGUGGAGGAUGACGCAUUUCGGUGUGUAAACUCCUUUUAUAGGGGAAGAUAAUGACGGUACCCUAUGAAUAAGCACCGGCUAACUCCGUG